CACGUGGUUAGCCGUGGCUUAUUCGACAGGUACCGUCUUCUGCUCUUCCCUGUCAAAAGAAGUUUACAACCCGAAAGCCUUCUUCCUUCACGCGGCGUUGCUGGGUCAGGCUUGCGCCCAUUGCCCAAUAUUCCCCACUGCUGCCUCCCGUAGGAGUCUGGGCCGUAUCUCAGUCCCAAUGUGGCCGGCCAACCUCUCAGUCCGGCUACUGAUCGUCGCCUUGGUAGGCCGUUUACCCUACCAACUAGCUAAUCAGACGCGAGGCCAUCUCUCAGCGAUAAAUCUUUGGUACCAGUACCAUGCGAUACCCGUACGUUAUGCGGUAUUAGCAGUCGUUUCCAACUGUUGUCCCCCUCUGAAAGGCAGGUUCCUCACGCGUUACUCACCCGUCCGCCACUAAGUAGUCCUCUCCAUUGACCGAAAUCUCUUUCGAGGUACUCCGUUCGACUUGCAUGUGUUAAGCACGCCGCCAGCUUCGUCCUUGAGCCAGGAUCGAAACUACU
rnacentral:rRNA from 1 species